rnacentral:misc_RNA from 1 species
GAUGAAGAACGUAGCGAAAUGCGAUAAGUAAUGUGAAUUGCAGAAUUCAGUGAAUCAUCGAAUCUUUGAACGCACAUUGCGCCCAUUAGUAUUCUAGUGGGCAUGCCCGUUCGAGCGUCAUUAAGUCCACUUAAGCCCUGCUUAGUGUUGGGAGACUGCUCCAGCGGUGCUACCCUGUAGCUACCCUGCAGCUCCUCAAAGACAGCGGCGGAGUUGUGGUAUCCUCUGAGCUUAGUAACUUGUUCUAGCUUUCGAGUACACCACUUCCCCUGCCGUAAAACCCUUAAUUUUUAAUGGUUGACCUCGGAUCAGGUAGGAAUACCCGCUGAACUUAAGCAUAUCAAUAAGCGGAGGA